GAUGAAGAACGUAGCGAAAUGCGAUAAGUAGUGUGAAUUGCAGAAUUCAGUGAAUCAUCGAAUCUUUGAACGCACAUUGCGCCCUUUGGUAUUCCAAAGGGCAUGCCUGUUCGAGCGUCAUUUGUACCCUCAAGCUUUGCUUGGUGUUGGGCGUCUUGUCUCCAGUCCGCUGGAGACUCGCCUUAAAGUCAUUGGCAGCCGGCCUACUGGUUUCGGAGCGCAGCACAAGUCACACUCUUUUCCAGCCAAGGUCAGUGUCCAACAAGCCUUUUUUCAACUUUUGACCUCGGAUCAGGUAGGGAUACCCGCUGAACUUAAGCAUAUCAAUAAGCGGAGGA
rnacentral:misc_RNA from 1 species